UCUCGUGAUUAUAUUCGUGUUUUCUUUUCUUUUCUUUUCUUUUCUUUUUUGCGUGUAAGAUGAUGAGAACGCAAAAAAAUGAACAUGUACUUGCUAUGAAUGAAGAAGUAAUAAUCUUCAUGAACUCAGAUUGACUGAUCAAAUAAUGGUAUUUUUAUCAUCAAUA
rnacentral:ribozyme from 1 species